GCCCCGGUGAGGUAGCGGA
rnacentral:misc_RNA from 1 species